GAUGAACGCCGGCGGCGUGCUUAACACAUGCAAGUCGAACGGAAAGGCCCUGCUUUUGUGGGGUGCUCGAGUGGCGAACGGGUGAGUAACACGUGAGUAACCUGCCCUUGACUUUGGGAUAACUUCAGGAAACUGGGGCUAAUACCGGAUAGGAGCUCCUGCUGCAUGGUGGGGGUUGGAAAGUUUCGGCGGUUGGGGAUGGACUCGCGGCUUAUCAGCUUGUUGGUGGGGUAGUGGCUUACCAAGGCUUUGACGGGUAGCCGGCCUGAGAGGGUGACCGGCCACAUUGGGACUGAGAUACGGCCCAGACUCCUACGGGAGGCAGCAGUGGGGAAUAUUGCACAAUGGGCGGAAGCCUGAUGCAGCAACGCCGCGUGCGGGAUGACGGCCUUCGGGUUGUAAACCGCUUUCGCCUGUGACGAAGCGUGAGUGACGGUAAUGGGUAAAGAAGCACCGGCUAACUACGUG
rnacentral:rRNA from 1 species